rnacentral:lncRNA from 1 species
UAAAAACCAAUCACAUUUGCUAGAGAAUAUAGAUUUGAAGUGCCUCCUUCAAUUGCUUUGUCAAAAACAAACUUUGCGAGCUUUGGGAUAACCUUUGAAUUAGUCUCAUAAUUCGAAGGUAAAUCCAUGUCGAAGAAGAGAUUGUUGUAACACGUGCAUUAUUCCAACUACUUCGCCAAAAUUAGUCCAUGAAUUAAGGUGUGACAAUGAAAAAUAUACCAGGUUUCAAGAAUGGACUAAAAUGUGUUGAGUGAAUAAGAUAUUAACAGAAAAGCCAACAGUUAAAUUGAUGUGGUAACAAUGACUAAAUCUCUAAAUAAAAUUUUAAAGGAGGUAAGAUACUUGAUACUCGAAAGACUAUUGGCUUUGGUGACUUUCAAGCAGUUUCAGUACUCUACCCAAUUGACAUGUUCCUUUGAGCUAUAAAGUAUUUAAUUGGUUUAAGAUGGAACAACCCAAAUCGACCCAUUUCCACUCUUAUACAAACUGUAUUGUCAAUUUCAUAUCAUAAUUAUUUUUCCAAAUUCAAAAUUA